CCUACGGGAGGCAGCAGUAGGGAAUCUUCCGCAAUGGACGAAAGUCUGACGGAGCAACGCCGCGUGAGUGAUGAAGGCUUUCGGGUCGUAAAACUCUGUUGUUAGGGAAGAACAAGUACGAGAGUAACUGCUCGUACCUUGACGGUACCUAACCAGAAAGCCACGGCUAACUACGUGCCAGCAGCCGCGGUAAUACGUAGGUGGCAAGCGUUAUCCGGAAUUAUUGGGCGUAAAGCGCGCGCAGGCGGUUUCUUAAGUCUGAUGUGAAAGCCCNCGGCUCAACCGUGGAGGGUCAUUGGAAACUGGGGAACUUGAGUGCAGAAGAGAAAAGCGGAAUUCCNCGUGUAGCGGUGAAAUGCGUAGAGAUGUGGAGGAACNCCAGUGGCGAAGGCGGCUUUUUGGUCUGUAACNGACGCUGAGGCGCGAAAGCGUGGGGAGCAANCAGGAUUAGAUACCCUGGUAGUCCACGCNGUAAACGAUGAGUGCUAAGUGUUAGAGGGUUUCCGCCCUUUAGUGCUGCAGCUAACGCAUUAAGCACUCCGCCUGGGGAGUACGGUCGCAAGACUGAAACUCAAAGGAAUUGACGGGGGCCCGCACAAGCGGUGGAGCAUGUGGUUUAAUUCGAAGCAACGCGAAGAACCUUAC
rnacentral:rRNA from 1 species